CCCCCCCCCCCCCCCCCCCCCCCCCCCCCCCCCCCCCCCCCCCCCCCCCCCCCCCCCCCCGCCCAGCAGUCCCCGCCCCGGGGCGGCGGACAAGGGGCCCGGCCCCGGCCCUGGCUCCUGCCCAGCGCUGCCCGAGCGGGGGUGGUUGCCCGGCGGGGAACGGGGCGGGCGGUGUCGGUCAGGCCGCCGUGUCCUGCAGCCUGGCGGUGAUGGGCGCCUGGUGGCUCCGGGAGAGCGCCAGGAUCCCCAGAGGUGCUGAUGCUGGGACUUCCCAGGGACGUGCACUUCUCCCAGGCAGUACAAACACCCGUGUGCCCCUCAGAAAAAUGCUUCAGGACACCCAGACUUUGGGAAUGUGGGACAUCAGAAAGAAGAAAGGACUUGCCACCUGCCUGCAGAGCCUGCAAACCCCAGCACGGGCUCUUCCUUCCAGCAGAAGCAUCCCUGGAUGUCAGUAAUUCCAGCAGGUUUUUAACACCAGUGGACUUCACUGGAGAGAUGCACAUGGCUGGGUGAGAGCCUGAGCCCUCAACUAUCAGCUCUAGCUGAUGACUACAACCAGGGCUCCAUGACACUGGAGAGCUGAAUCCAUCCCAGAUCCUGGACUGACAAGACAAUAAUAAAAUGUUAAGGGUUUAUCAAAACUGCAGAGGCAAUUUAAAGCAAAUUCUUUGUCAGCAGAAACUGACUUUCAAUGUACUCUUUCAACAUAUGCAAAAUGAAAGUGAAAUAAAAGUUGUGUAUGUUGCUUCAUAGCACCUUGAAAAAUUUUAUUGCCAGAGUGUUUCAGGACUGGAAACAGAAAUAUUAACCCUGUUGAUCUAAUAGUUAUGAUGCUCCUGUGUUUGUAUAUUGAAUGAUAGAUGAAAAUACCCUAUGAAUGGAAAAGUAAACAUCACUGGAUUUGUUUGCAGACCAUCUUAGAAGGGAACAGCUGGAAUUAGAGCAAAAAUAACCAGAAAACCAGAUGCAAUGCUUAGGGCAUUAUCAGUAACUUUUAAAAAUUUUGAUUUGUUUCUUGAGUUUUAUGUCAAACACAGGCUUUUUUUCUGUGAACCAUUCUAGCAGAGGUCAGUCUGUGCUGAAACAGUGAUGGAGAAAGGUCUGUAUGUCAAUAUUAACUGGAUGCAGGAAGAGCUGGAGGAGUUCUGAUCUGAGAGAGCUAAAUCUUUGGGGAUUUAAGACUUGAAUGGGUCAGAGAGCAGCUCUCUACCCCCUCUUUGCCUUUUCCACAGCUCCCCUAACCUGUGAGGGGCAGGGAUACCCCACAGAGGGACAGGCCAUGAGCCCUUUGUCCCCAUUUUCAAGGAGAGGCCCGAAUCUUCCUGAGCUCAGAGUGCCCUUUUAACCCUGAUCCAACCAUUUGUUCCACCUGAGCCACUUCCCUGCUCCCUGUGGGAGGUCAGUGCACACACACAGUGACAAGUGAUGGGGUAAAAAGUGCAGGUGAGUGCUCAGCACAUCCUCUGUGCAAAUCUUAUCCUUCCCACUGGAUAUGUGGCGUCCCACUGACACCAUUCCUUGACAGCCAGGCAGGGAUUUGCAUGAAACUUGAGGGGCAUUAACUCUUGAGACCUUGUCUCCUCUGUUAAACGUGGGUGAAACUGGUCACUGGGGCCAACCACACUGCACAAGGCAAAAAUGGCAAAUGUGGAAUCCAAGAAAUUGAGAAAACUGGCCCAAGUGUUCUCAAAGACAGGUCACACCUAGUGUGAAGAGAGGAACUGAGUAAACCUCAUUCUCAAAAGAUAAAAGGAUCAUUCUCUGCUUUAUGAGAAUCCACACACUACAUUCCCACACAGGGGGUUUUGAAGAGGGAAAUUCAUGCAGCAAAACUGCUUUGGAUGAGAGCGCUGCAAAACGCCAGGAACAUUUCUGUGUCCUUUCAAACAUCUGGAUCAGUCCAAUUUUAGAUGGAGACACUUCCUUCCACAAAUCACUGAUUGCACAUGAAGCAGGAUUUGGGCUGUGCUCAAGUUUUUAAGAGAUUGUCUGGAGAGCAGUUGGUUUUCCUGUAUUUUCCAGUAAAAGGUUCCACUAGUGAGGCAUUUACUAAAACAAACAAACCCCCAUUAUUUUAGCAAUGUACAAGUAGCACUUACAUCCAACAAACAGAACAAAAGAUGCUCUUUUACACACUCACUUCCUACCCCGCAGACACAAUGGUUUGUACAAUAACACCACCCUCUGCCAAGAGAUUCCAGUAGAAGACACAGUGACUCAAAAGAAACAAAGUGUAAGUUUAUUGGACGUCAACAUUUCUUAGUCAAGAUCUAAGUAAAGAAAACACACAGUAGAAAAAGUUGUACAAAGCAGCAAUGGAUUUACAUUACAUUAAAGAAAAGGUUGCCUUAAGCUAUUAAGUCUCAGUCCUAAAAAAAGUAAAAACCCAUCCUGGUGUAUUGAACAGAUAUAGAAUGUAUAAGGUAUACAGGAUUAUAAACCCAGAGUUGCUUGUCUUACCUCUAUAAUCCUUUAAAAUGACAAGUGAUUUUGUGUGACUAACCGGAAAACUCUCUAGAAAAUAUAUUGGAUAAUUCCAAUUUCUAGUAGGAAACUAUUCCCCUGUACCCAAGCACUUAAAGUGAUCCCAUUUUCCUCCUUUUUAAAAAGGGACGCUGUCAAGAAUAAGCCUUAAAAGAUGUACUUUCUGUGUAUUUUGCACUUCAUGCUGCAAAAGAGGGUUUGUUCUGGUUUUCUGCACAUAUUUGAAUUAAAGCUGCUGCUGCAAUAGUGGGAAGUCUUUAAAAGGUAAUGUGUACCACUGAGAGACUGGAAAUGGAAAAAGAGGAUGGAGUCCUUUAUUCUGGAAUAGUGAGAGGAAAAGCAACAUGAAAAAUCAGCUCAACCCACAGAAUUCAGUUACAUUUUUCAGACAUCCUUGCAAUAUCUGAGGCUGCCCAUAAUAGGAUUUCCAUGCCCAAGCAGCUCAAGUGUUAUGACUCAAUUUGUUUUUAAGUUCUUCAAUAUUAUUUAUUAAUAUAAAGUAUUUCUAGUAUAUGUCCAUUUUUCCAUGUCCAGCCUUUCUCUUGAUAGUGUCCCUUUUCGUAGAGCAGUUACAGUACAGUUUUUCACAAGUCAUUUUAAAUAAACAAGAAUCAACAACAUUAAAAAUACUAUCAGGCUGUGUUCAGCAACAACAGAAAAAAAAAAAAAAGAUUUUAACACUGAUUCAAUAACAACAACACUAAAAAAACCCCAACCAAAACAAACAAACAAAAAAACCUCCAACAAAAAACAACCCCCUAAGCUUGUUUUGAUUUUUAUCUAAAUCUUCUGGUAGGAAAAUGUAAACAAUU
rnacentral:lncRNA from 1 species